rnacentral:rRNA from 1 species
CCUACGGGAGGCAGCAGUGGGGAAUAUUGGGCAAUGGAGGAAACUCUGACCCAGCGACGCCGCGUGAGGGAUGAAGGCCUUCGGGUUGUAAACCUCUUUCAGUAGGGAGGAAGCGAAAGUGACGGUACCUACAGAAGAAGCACCGGCUAACUAUGUGCCAGCAGCCGCGGUGAUACAUAGGGUGCAAGCGUUGUCCGGAAUUAUUGGGCGUAAAGAGCUCGUAGGUGGUUCGAUACGUCGGAUGUGAAAAUCAGGGGCUCAACCCCUGACCUGCAUCCGAUACGGUCGAGCUAGAGUUUGGUAGGGGAGACUGGAAUUCCUGGUGUAGCGGUGGAAUGCGCAGAUAUCAGGAGGAACACCGAUGGCGAAGGCAGGUCUCUGGGCCAAUACUGACACUGAGGAGCGAAAGCGUGGGGAGCGAACAGGAUUAGAUACCCUGGUAGUCCACGCCGUAAACGGUGGGCGCUAGUUGUGCGACCUUCCACGGUUUGUGCGACGCAGCUAACGCAUUAAGCGCCCCGCCGUGGGGAGUACGAUCGCAAGAUUAAACUCAAAUGAAUUGAG